UACCCGCAGCCCAAGUGGUGGUCGAUUUUAUUGAGUCUAAAACGUUCGUAGCCGGUUCACUAAAUCCUUGGGUAAAUCGGGAAGCUUAACUUUCCGACUUCCGAGGAGACUGGUGAACUUGGGACCGGGAGAGGCAAGAGGUACUUCUGGGGUAGGGGCAAAAUCCUGUAAUCCUAGAAGGACCACCGGUGGCGAAGGCGUCUUGCUAGAACGGAUCCGACGGUGAGGGACGAAGCCCUGGGUCGCAAACGGGAUUAGAUACCCCGGUAGUCCAGGGUGUAAACGCUGCAGACUUGGUGUUGGGGACCCUUCGGGGGUGUUCAGUGCCGGAGAGAAGUUGUUAAGUCUGCUACUUGGGGAGUACGUCCGCAAGGAUGAAACUUAA
rnacentral:rRNA from 1 species